GCAACGAGGUCUGCAGAGACUGAUGACGCCCUUGAGGAGUUCAAGACGAGAAGCAGUCAGAGCGGGAGCAGGAGACAAUGCGAUGGCAGAGUGAUUCUGAGGUCCUGUGAGACAGAACGGGCAUCUGGAGGUCCGUUUUACAGCAGACGUGGUGUGAACAGUCAGCUAGCCAAUGCUAGUAACUCUGCACCCUGUAAUAUCACCUGCAGCAGAAGUCCGUCUCCUCUUCCACUGACCUCCCAGUGGGGGGUCCAGGUCCAGUAGUGGGCCUGUCUUAAUUAGGCUCCCGGUUCCAGCAGCCCCAUGAUUUACCAGCAAUGUGCAUGCAUCAGCUGGAGCCACAGCAGAGACGAGGGUCAAAGUGUGAACCUGAGAAUGGUGCAGGAAUGCUGGUGGACGAGGACUACAAGAAAGCCGCGGCCCAAAACCACCAGAAGGAGGACGGGAAACAGUUUGAACAAAGUUGAGCUGUACGUUAUCCAGUCAGAUCGUUUAUGGCUCCUCGUGCUGAGAAAAGAGGCUCCUUCUGUUUUUUUCAUACAUUUAGUGUGUAAGCAGAAUGGAUAUCGAUCGUUCACUGCAGGCUUCUCUCAAUAAAGCAUAGCUGAGUGCACUCAUUUGCACAGCGA